ACAGUGGAGGACAGAAGAGCCUGGCAUGCUGUGGUCCAUGGGGUCACAGAGUGAGAAGUGACUGAACGACUGAAUGACAGCAAUUGACACUCACUGGAUGACCUGGGGUUUUUGAAGAUUAUUCCACAGGAGCACAAACUCUGAAGUGUCCCAUUAAGUUGUAAAGUUUUAAAGUUAUAGGCUCUGUAACAGACAACGUUAGCUGGUCCAUGAGCUACCAGCCUGCUAAAUUGGGAGAACCUCCGAACCAACAUUGGCCACCAAGGAAUGCAUCUUUUCCUACCAGGGGAACUUAUUGGGGAGAGAUUCCAAUCUUUUAUUGUGGCCACUUCUCCCCAUCUCCAAUCAUCAUCAUCAACAACAACAAGCUACAGCAAAAGAAAAAAUCACUGCACUCAAAAAUCCAGAAAAUCCCCAUCACUUUUCUCUAGAAGUUUUUAACUUGUUGGAGUAAAGAUUAAUCAAGUAUGACAUUUAAAACUGUCAAGAAAAGCAAAUUUUGGAGAGUAGUGGUACGCAGACACCUUUGGAACAGUGGAACAGAUCACAGAAUUUGGAGACAGAAGACCUGGGCUAGAAUCCGGGCUCUGAUAUCAUCUAUGUGACUUUGGACAAAUCCCUUACCUUUUCGGGCCUCAGUUUCCUCAUUUAUAAAAUGAGGGGAUGGAACUUAAUGGCUUCUCAGGUUUUUGCCAGCUUUAAAUCUCUGAUCUCCAGUACU